rnacentral:rRNA from 1 species
UACGUAGGGGGGCAAGCGUUUGUCCGGAAUCAUUGGGCGUAAAGCGCGUGUAGGCGGCCCGGUAAGUCAGCUGUGAAAGUCAAGGGCUCAACCCUUGAAUGCCGGUUGAUACUGUCGGGCUAGAGUCCGGAAGAGGCGAGUGGAAUUCCCCGGUGUAGCGGUGAAAUGCGCAGAUAUCGGGAGGAACACCAAUGGCGAAGGCAGCUCGCUGGGACGGUACUGACGCUGAGACGCGAAAAGCGUGGGGAGCAAACAGG